rnacentral:rRNA from 1 species
CAGCGCCGCGGGAAUACAGAGGGUGCGAGCGUUAAUCGGAUUUACUGGGCGUAAAGCGUGCGUAGGCGGCUUUUUAAGUCGGAUGUGAAAUCCCUGAGCUUAACUUAGGAAUUGCAUUCGAUACUGGGAAGCUAGAGUAUGGGAGAGGAUGGUAGAAUUCCAGGUGUAGCGGUGAAAUGCGUAGAGAUCUGGAGGAAUACCGAUGGCGAAGGCAGCCAUCUGGCCUAAUACUGACGCUGAGGUACGAAAGCAUGGGGAGCGAACAGGAUUAGAUACCCCGGUAGUCCCUGUCUCUUAUACA